rnacentral:rRNA from 1 species
GGGUCUCGCUCGUUACCUGACUUAACAGGAUGCUUCACAGUACGAACUGACGACGGCCAUGCACCACCUCUCAGCUAAUCCGGCAAAGUCUUCAGCCUGGCCUUCAUAUUGCUGUCGGUCCCGGUAAGAUUUCCGGCGUUGAAUCCAAUUAAACCGCAAGCUCCACCCGUUGUGGUGCUCCCCCGCCAAUUCCUUUAAGUUUCAGCCUUGCGGCCGUACUUCCCAGGUGGCUCGCUUCACGGCUUCCCUACGGCACCGACAACGGUCGCACCGUGGCCGACACCUAGCGAGUAUCGUUUACGGCUAGGACUACCCGGGUAUCUAAUCCGGUUCGUGCCCCUAGCUUUCGUCCCUUGCCGUCAGGUCCGUUCUGGUGAGACGCCUUCGCCACUGGUGGUCCUUCAAGGAUUACAAGAUUUCACCCCUACCCCUGAAGUACCUCUCACCUCUCCCGGCCUCGAGCCAGACAGUAUCUCCUGAAAGCCUGACAGUUAAGCUGCCAGAUUUCUCAAGAGACUUAUCCGGCCGGCUACAGACCCUUUAGACCCAAUAAUAACGGUUACCACUCGAGCCGCCGGUGUUACCGCGGCGGCUGGCACCGGUCUUGCUCGGCCCUUGCUAUGAAA